rnacentral:tRNA from 1 species
UGGGGUAUAGCCAAGUGGUUACGGCACCGGUCUUUGAUAUCGGCAUCUCUGGUUCGAAUCCAGGUACCCCAGCCA